rnacentral:rRNA from 1 species
UACGUAGGGUGCGAGCAUUAAUCGGAAUUACUGGGCGUAAAGGGCGCGUAGGCGGCCUGAUAAGUAGGGGGUGAAAUCCUGCGGCUUAACCGCAGGGCUGCCUUCUAAACUGUCAGGCUUGAGCACAGUAGAGGCAGGUGGAAUUCCCGGUGUAGCGGUGGAAUGCGUAGAGAUCGGGAAGAACAUCAGUGGCGAAGGCGGCCUGCUGGGCUGUUGCUGACGCUGAGGCGCGACAGCGUGGGGAGCAAACAGG